AGUUGAAAAACGCGAGGGGGACAGCUGUACUCCAAAUUACUCAACUCAAUGCCAACUUUACUCAAUAGUUCAACUACAUUUUAUGAAAUUUGUCGCCAACAUAAAAAUAUUGGAGUC